rnacentral:rRNA from 1 species
GAGUUUGCUCGUGGCUCAGGAUGAACGCUGGCGGCGUGCUUAACACAUGCAAGUCGAACGAAGCGCCUUAUUUGAUUUUCUUCGGAACUGAAGAUUUGGUGACUGAGUGGCGGACGGGUGAGUAACGCGUGGGUAACCUGCCCUGUACAGGGGGAUAACAAUCAGAAAUGACUGCUAAUACCGCAUAAGACCACAGCACCGCAUGGUGCAGGGGUAAAAACUCCGGUGGUACAGGAUGGACCCGCGUCUGAUUAGCUGGUUGGUGAGGUAACGGCUCACCAAGGCGACGAUCAGUAGCCGGCUUGAGAGAGUGAACGGCCACAUUGGGACUGAGACACGGCCCAAACUCCUACGGGAGGCAGCAGUGGGGAAUAUUGCACAAUGGGGGAAACCCUGAUGCAGCAACGCCGCGUGAGUGAAGAGUAUUCGGUAUGUAAAGCUCUAUCAGCAGGGAAGAAAGUGACGGUACCUGACUAAGAAGCCCGGCUAACUACGUGCCAGCCG